rnacentral:snRNA from 1 species
AUCCUUGUUGGCGGUUUCGA